rnacentral:rRNA from 1 species
UACGUAGGGGGCAAGCGUUGUCCGGAUUUAUUGGGCGUAAAGCGCUCGCAGGUGGUUUGUCGCGUCGUGCGUGAAAGGCCCCGGCUCAACUGGGGAGGGUCGUGCGAUACGGGCGAACUGGAGGCCAGUAGGGGGAUGCGGAAUUCCGGGUGUAGUGGUGGAAUGCGUAGAGAUCCGGAGGAACACCAGCGGCGAAGGCGGCAUCCUGGACUGGUCCUGACACUCAGGAGCGAAAGCGUGGGGAGCGAUCCGG